rnacentral:piRNA from 1 species
UACUGGGAUGUACUUGGAAUGAUAUGGGGU